rnacentral:rRNA from 1 species
UCACGAAAGUGGGCUGUACUAGAAGCAGGUGUGCUAACCGCAAGGAGGCAGCCUUCCAGGGUACAGCUCAUGAUUGGGGUG